AGCGAACGCUGGCGGCAGGCCUAACACAUGCAAGUCGAACGAAGUCUUCGGACUUAGUGGCGGACGGGUGAGUAACACGUGGGAACGUACCUUUUGGUUCGGAACAACUCAGGGAAACUUGAGCUAAUACCGGAUGAGCCCUUAGGGGGAAAGAUUUAUCGCCGAAAGAGCGGCCCGCGUUAGAUUAGCUAGUUGGUGAGGUAAAGGCUCACCAAGGCUACGAUCUAUAGCUGGUCUGAGAGGAUGAUCAGCCACACUGGGAAUGAGAAACGGCCCAGACUCCUACGGGAGGCAGCAGUGGGGAAUCUUGCGCAAUGGGCGAAAGCCUGACGCAGCCAUGCCGCGUGAAUGAUGAAGGUCUUAGGAUUGUAAAAUUCUUUUACCAGGGACGAUAAUGACGGUACCUGGAGAAAAAGCCCCGGCUAACUUCGUGCCAGCCGCCGCAGUAA
rnacentral:rRNA from 1 species